UGUGAACUAAUGGCUGGUCUGAGAAUCGAUGAGGGGACCAAAUAGCAAAGGAUCAAAGUCCGAAUGAAAUAGGACCACCUUCCUAACUCAAGCCUACUGUGACAUCACCCUGCACUAUUCCACUUUUCAUUUUCCCACAAGGUAAAGUCCUUGAUUACAUUUGACAAAAAGGCUGUAGAACAAGAAGAGCAGUGAUGUUAGAGCACUUAAAGAAUGGUGUUCCCAGGAAUGAAAGAUUGAUGAAGGCUCUGUUAGAGGGGUGGUGUUCCAGCUGCGCCUUAAAGCAAAGGUCAAGUUUGAAUUGAUAGAGGUGAGAAAGGAAGACAUUCCAGAUGAGAACGGCAUUGUAAGGGAAUUCCUAAGGGUGAAAGGAGGCAAGGUGUGCAUUUUCAUUUUGUUUGUGAAAAUAUAGUACGAGCGUCUUAACCUAAAUAGCUGAGAGGCGGUUUUAGAAAAUGUCUUGAAUUUUCAUCUCCUUUCUGAUUUUGCUGACCUUGUCAUUGUUGACUUGUUAAGAGCAUUAGUGACAGUAAUGAUCAUUAGACAAUAACAGAAAAAAUAAUGAUGAUAUCUCAGUAAUCUCCUUGUCAUAUUAUUUGUCUAAUCUGCACUUAUGUUCAUCGAUGUCAAUGUAUACCAAUAAACAUCCAUCCUUAAA